rnacentral:lncRNA from 1 species
GUUUUUCUUCCUCUUUCCCACUCUCCCAACCUGGGCAGUGUUGUUUGGAGCUGGGAGCAGCCGCAAAUACUCACACGCUCGGAACUUUUCUCUUGGAAAGCCGCAGUGGCAUUCAAUCAUAGGGAAUUCGGCAUCAUGAACUCUUUUGCAGUUAGAUUAUGUGCAGGACGAGUGAUGACUUCCAAUUUGCACCUCUGAUAGGAGUCGCCGAGUGCCCUGAUUCUGAGUCGACCUGUGCUGUCUUCAGUGGCCUGGGCUGAACAUGGACUUGUCCAACCAUCGUUCAGUCUUGACGUCUCCGACCAGGGACUGGUGCAAUCUGAGUGCCUGGCACCAUCUUAAGGGAACAUAAAAAUUGGACUUGGCCUGUUGCCAGCUUCCUUCCUGUUCUGGAACACGCGUGGAACGUCUGGGAGAACACUGCACUCAUUCCCAUGGUCCUGGAUAUUCCGAGGCACCUGGUCCAUCAGAACCCGACUCCGUGCUUACAACUGUUUUUACAGGGAGCCUGAGGAGCUCACCACAGCCACGAAUGUGCUUUAAUGUCUUUGUAUUGGAGGCAUUAUACGGAAUUAUGGCUCAACAUUUAAAAGCUCACACCACAAGAUAACUCGGUUCAUGUCUGAACGGAGAUUGCAGAUUUCCAAGCCUCCCCAGCGGCUGUAUCUUCCAAUUCUCUUCCAGAGACAUUGUAUAGAGAUCUCUGGGGUUGGAGCCCGAAAGGAAAGUGGGGAACCAGAAGAUGGGGAGCGAGGAAGGACAGACAGAGACAAGGCAGAGACACAGAGGAGAGUUUAUUGGUCAGAGCUGAGAG